rnacentral:piRNA from 1 species
UCCUACCUUUCACCACUCCUCACCUCC